ensembl:rRNA 5S_rRNA 5S ribosomal RNA
GCCUACGACAAUAUCACCGUGAAUGUGCCCGAUCUCGUAUGAUCUCGGAAGCUAAGCAGGGUCGACCCUGGUUAGUACUUGGAUGGGAGACUGCCUGGUAAUACCAGGUGUUGUAGGCU